rnacentral:rRNA from 1 species
GGGCCUACGGGGGGCAGCAGUGGGGAAUAUUGCACAAUGGGGGAAACCCUGAUGCAGCAACGCCGCGUGAGUGAAGAAGUAUUUCGGGUUGUAAACUUCUUUUAAGAGGGAAGAGCAGAAGACGGUACCUCUUGAAUAAGCCACGGCUAACUACGUGCCAGCAGCCGCGGUAAUACGUAGGUGGCAAGCGUUGUCCGGAUUUACCGGGUGUAAAGGGCGUGCAGCCGGGAAGACAAGUCAGAUGUGAAAUCCCGCGGCUCAACCGCGGAACUGCAUUUGAAACUGUUUUUCUUGAGUACCGGAGG